AUUGAACGCUGGCGGCAGGCCUAACACAUGCAAGUCGAGCGAGCGGCGGACGGGUGGGUAAGGUAUGGGGAUCUGCCCGAUGGAUGGGGAUCACUACUGGAAGCGGUGACUGAUACCGCAUUCUAGAGGAUGAACCCGUAUGGGAUUAGCUAGUAGGUGGGGUAAAGGCUCACCUAGUCGACGAUCUCGCGCUGGUCUGAGAGGAUGAUCAGCCACACUGGAACUGAGACACGGCCCCGACUCCUACGGGAGGCAGCAGUGGGGAAUAUUGCACAAUGGGCGAAAGCCUGAUGCAGCCAUGCCGCGUGUAUGAAGAAGGCCUUAGGGUUGUAAAGUACUUUCAGCGGGGAGGCGUUACCCGCAGAAGAAGCACCGGCUAACUCCGUGCCAGCAGCCGCGGUAAUAC
rnacentral:rRNA from 1 species